UACGGAGGGAGCUAGCGUUGUUCGGAAUUACUGGGCGUAAAGCGCACGUAGGCGGCAUAGCAAGUCAGGGGUGAAAUCCCGGGGCUCAACCCCGGAACUGCCUUUGAAACUGCUAAGCUAGAAUCCUGGAGAGGCGAGUGGAAUUCCGAGUGUAGAGGUGAAAUUCGUAGAUAUUCGGAAGAACACCAGUGGCGAAGGCGACUCGCUGGACAGGUAUUGACGCUGAGGUGCGAAAGCGUGGGGAGCAAACAGG
rnacentral:rRNA from 1 species